rnacentral:rRNA from 1 species
AGCCUUAAGAAUGGAUUUAAGGUUAUACCUGCCCAAUGUACUAAUUAAUGGCCGCGGUACUCUGACCGUGCUAAGGUAGCGCAAUCAAUUGGCUCUUAAUUGGAGUCAGGAAUGAAUGGAGUUACGGGGUUCAGCUGUCUCUCAGCUAAUUAAUCGAAAUUACUAUAUAGGUGAAAAAGCCUAUAUACAGAAAAAGGACGAGAAGACCCUUAGAGUUUUCCCUAAUGUAAUAUUAAGAAGCUAUUUAUUACACUGGUUUUGUUGGGGCAACAUAGGAGCAGCUAAUAAGUUAAUCUCCUGAAUUAAAUGAACCGAUAAUUUUAAACAUAAAUAAACUACCUUAGGGAUAACAGCAUAAUUUUAUAAAUAAGUUUGUGACCUCGAUGUUGGACUAGGAAACCUAAAGGCUAGUCGUCUUCAGGGAAAGUUCUGUUCGAACUAUCAUUCCU